rnacentral:tRNA from 1 species
GGGCCCUUAGCUCAUUUGGUAGAGCGCCUCGUUUGCAACGAGGAGGUGACCGGUUCGAUCCCGGUAGGGUCCA